rnacentral:rRNA from 1 species
GAUUUCUGGCCUCGGGCGCCUGGCCCGCCUCGCAAGAGUGUGUGUUGUCGGCGCGCCCCGGUCAUCCUUCUGGAGAGCGUUUCUGCCCUUCACUGGGUUGGGAACGGGAUCCAGAUCGUUUACUUUGAAAAAAUUAGAGUGUUCAAAGCAGGCUUUUCGCUGUGAAUACAUUAGCAUGGAAUAAUAAGAUAGGGCUUUGGUACUAUUUUGUUGGUUUCUAGGACCAAAGUAAUGAUUGAUAGGGACAGUUGGGGGUGCUAGUAUUCAAUGGCCAGAGGUGAAAUUCUUGGAUUCAUUGAAGACUAACUUAUGCGAAAGCAUU